rnacentral:rRNA from 1 species
AACGUAGGUGGCAAGCGUUAUCCGGAAUUACUGGGCGUAAAGGGUGUGCAGGCGGGGAAGCAAGUGGUGUAUGAAAUAUCCCAGCUUAACUGGGAGGGGUUAUGCCAGACUGCUUUUCUAGAGGACGAGAGAGGGGGGUGGAAUUCCGGGUGUAGUGGUGAAAUGCGUAGAGAUGCGGAGGAACACCGAUGGCGAAGGCAGCCCCCUGGGCUGACACUGACGCUCAGGCACGAAAGCGUGGGGAGCAAACAGG